UCCUUGAUAUAUAGUAAAUUCUAUAUAUAAACCUAGGUUUUCUUUGUUUAUAUAUAUUCUAGAGUGUUUUGUCUAAAUUAGCUGUUUAUAUAUAGUUUUGUCGAGUGCCAUUAUGUAGAAAAACCAAAAAACUCAAAUAGGCAACUGAUUACAAAGCCAAACUGGCCUAGUAACAAAACAGCUCAAAUCCCAGCCCAAGCUCGAAGAGAACCCAGCCCAUCUCAAGAAAUUUCUGAGACACCCACCGCUCCAUCCCUCGCUCUUCCUCAGCACCGACAUGCAGCAGCAAGCCAAAGUGAAACCGCCAAUAACCAUUUGCGCCGAGGACAAAAUUCAGGGAAAAGCCAGCAACUCAAAUCCAGAAACAACUCAAGAGAACAAUAUCCUAAUAGGAAGGGAAGAAAACGAAAGAGCCUAAAACAACAAAACAUACCCAACCCAGACCAGGCUUGAGACCAGAAUCGCCAACUGAAAUAUAAGGGGAAGAAAUGAUGCUAUGACGUUUUCAGUGUCGGAUAACCAUGGGACUGCAGGAAGGAGGCAGAUUUGCACCAGCAUCGAAGUAUCCACCUAUUUGCACUACCCUCGACAGCAAUCGGUCGGAAAGAAAAUCUGAAGUAUAGAAGGAAACCAUGCAAUCAGAGACACAAUCACACCGCUCACACACCGAACACGAACAAAUACCUCACUGCAGAUCAUAAGACCAAAACCAAAACUAGACAGAAAGCCGCAGUAAGAGAACCAUCAAGGUCGAACAAAGCUGUCCGCCAUGACCAAGGAUAGGAUUCCUCCACCAAUAGGCAGAGAAAUCCCGCCCCUAAAAACCCUCUUCUUCCCGAUUGCAGACGCUCUUUCUCUGUCACUUUCUUUUUUCCUCUCCCAGCUUUCAAAACUUUUUCAAUAUAACAUAUUUUUAGUGCAGCCAUAUUACCA
rnacentral:lncRNA from 1 species